UUUUUUUUUUUUUUUUUUUUUUUCCUUUGCUUUUUAGGGCCACACCCACAGCACUUGGAAGUUCCUAGGCAAGGGGUCAAAUUGGAGCUGGAGCUGCUGGCCUACACCACACCACAGCAAUGUGGGAUCCACGCCGCAUCUGCAACCUACAACACAGCUCACGGCCACACCAGGCCCUUAACCCAUGGAGAGAGGCCAGGGAUCGAACCUGCAUCCUCAUGGUUCCUAGUCGGGUUUGUUAACCACCGAACCACGAAGGGAACUCCCAGGACAAGUUACCUUUCAUUCUCAAACGUGUAGCAGUUCGGACCUUAAGUUAUACGAUCUCUCUGUAAUGGCAAAACUCAAAUAUUUGUGAUGUGGAAAGUAAUUGGCAAAGACACUGGAGUCCUUCAAGGUUUUUGGAAUACGAGGUGAAAAUGACAAAACAAAUUUCAAUACAUUUCCAUCAACAACUCAGAUCUACUGUGACAUUGGCGAGCCGACUGAAGGAGGAUUUCAGAAGAAUGUGUAGCAUGAAGUGUGGAAGAGGGAGGUUAUCUUCCUGGCUACAGUAAUGAUGUAAUGAUUACGUUUGUAGGGUGGAAAGUGAGACCUCCCACAUCCCUAGACUCCGAGUCUUCUGGAAGGAGGAGGUAAUGACUGCGACGGAGGAGAUGGCAGCCCACCUUGUUCUGGGGUUUCAGUGACCCCGUAAUGAGGGGGACACCAUCCCCUACUGGUUCUGGAGGGAAAGAGUGAACACAGACUGGCCCACAUUCAAAGAAUAGAAGCAAGACUAUCCUGGGAAAAUCUUGGGAAAUGAAACCUGCAUAUCAACAUAGAAUUGUGGCCAAUGGGGACCAGCAGUCUCAGCUUUGGAAAAACAGCUGGGGUGGGGGGCCUACUUUUAGUGGCGAUGAGUAGCUCAUUGUGUUUAAUAGAAAAAGGCCGAAAUGAGGAGACGUAGUUCCUUAGGGGACUAUUUUGAGGUGAUGGAAUUGAUCAUCUGGGCAAAUGGGUUUUUGCUUAGAGUUUGGCACCUGAACUCUUUAAAUCUGACACUGAGAAGUUAAAUAGACUCUACAGAGGUUUUCCCCUUCCUAUUAUCCGCUAUUAAUAGGAUAAUAUUACUCAUGAUUAUCCUAUUAUUUGAAAAAAAAGUAGCACCCCUAUCCUCCAGAGAAGUCAUUGAAACAAAGUGAAUAUUCAAGGACAAAGGGCUGACAUUCAAAGGGCUACAUUCAAAAGUAUCAAUUGGCAGCUAUUGCCUAAGUGAUGGGCGAAUCAGUUACCACCGGCGGAGGAAGAGUUACCUUCCCAUUGGCAGAAAGGUAGGUUCUAGGAUUCAAAUCUAAUCCAACUGGGAAAGACUUAAUGGCAAGUGACCCAGUGAUGUUUGCAUUCAUUCCAAGGAGAGAGUGUGUCCUGGAGGAGAAAUCAGGACACCCCAAAACUGCAACUUGUAGGGGAUCCUAUUCCUCCUUAUGAGUCAUCCAGGAAGUAAGCGGGAUUUAACCGGAAAAGUCUGACCUAGGUUUGAUGUCCAGUUUCUGUUUACUAAGGCGAGGUCUUCGGUCUGUUGGCCUGUUUCUUAAUCUGCAUGGGAAGGUGGUGGGGGGUGAAGGGCAGCCAGGGGAGGAUUUGCAAAAUCUGAGGAGUUCUGAUGAGCUGUUGUAUUCAAAGUACUUCAAGUUCCUUGCUUAGGUUCUUUGGACCCACUGCAGGUGGUACUCUGCUCUCACUACUGAGCCUCUAGCCUCCUCACUUCCCUGGGGGGGCAAGAUGGCUGCAGACUGGAGAGAACUCUGAGAGAGCGGUUGGCCCAAUUUUCCUGGUUGGUAACAUCUUCCAAAACUAUAGUUCAGUAUUACAAUCAGGACACCAACAUUGACCCAGGCAAGAUAUAGGACAACUCCACCACCACAAGAAUCCCUUAUGUGGCACCUUUACAACCAGACUUGCUUCCCUCCCAGCCUCACCCUCUCUCUCCCGUCCCUGACAACUACUAAUCUAUUCUCUACCCAUGACUUUUGCCAUGUCAAGAAUAUUAUACAAGUGGGAAGCGUAAAAUACAUAACCUUUUGGGAAUGGCUUUCUUUUCACCCAGCACGACUCCCUGGAGAUUUAUUCAGGUCGUGGCACAUAUCAAUAGUGUCUUCCUUUUUAUUGCCGGUAGUACCAUCCCCUGCUGUGGGUGUGCUGCAUUGUGUUUAAACGUUUACCCAUUGAAGGACAUCUGGGUUAGUUCCAGAUUUUUGCUAUUAUGAAUAAAGCUUCUAUGAACACUGGUGUGCAGGUUUUGAAGGAACAUAAUUUUUGUUUCUCUGGGAUAAAUGCCCAGCAGUGGAAGUGCAAAUGCUGAAUGUAUGGUAGUUAUAUGUUUAGUUUUUUUAGGAAACUGCCAGAUCAUUUCCAAAGUGGUUGGAGAAUUUCAUAUUGCCAUAAGCAAUACAUGAUGGUUUAAACUUCUCCACAUCCUUGCCAUGAUUUGGUCCUGGCCACUAUUUCUUUUAACUAUUCUGAUGAGUGUGUAGUGAUAUUUCAUUGUGGUUUUAUUUUGUAUUCUCCUAAUGGAUAUGGAUGCUAACCAUCUUUUCAUGUGCUAUUUGCCAUCUGUAUAUCCUCACCAGUGAAAUGUCUGUUCACGUCUUUUGUAUAUUGUGUAAUUGAAUUGUUUGUUUCUUUUUUCACUGUUGAGUUUUGAGAACUGUUUAUAUAUUCUGAGAUUAGUCCUUUGUUAGACAUGUGGUUUGCAAAUAUUUUCUUUCAGUUCGUAUGUUAAUAGGGUGAUUUAUAGAGCUAAAGUUUUAAUUUUGAUGAUAUUUUAUCACUUCUUCCUUUUAUGGCUUGUGCUUUUGGUCUCAAGUCAAAGAAAUCUUUACUCAGUUUAAGAUCCCAAAGACUUCUCUUUUGUUUUACUUCUAUAAAUUUUAUUACGUUUAAGCCUGCAAUCUACUUUGAAUUUGCUAUAUAAGUUAUGAGGGUUAGGUAGAAAAAUUUGUAAGGACAAAAUUUAUUUUUUGUAUAUUUAUCUUGUAUCCUAUGAUCUUGCUGAACUCUAUUAUUAGAGAUUGAAGAUUUUUGGAGAUAAUUUGCUCCCCAUUUUCUGUUUUUAUUUUUGGCCUAUGAGUAUCCAAUUACUUCAUUAUCAUUUCUCACAAAGGCUACUCUUCCUCCAUUAAAUUACUCUUGUUCCUUUAGCAAAGGUCAGUUGGACAUAUUUGUGUGGCUCUGUUUCUGGGUUCUCUGUUUUGGUCCAUUGACCUAUGUGUCUAUCUUCUGUCAACACCACACAGCCUUAAUUGAUGUAGCUAUAUAAUGUCUUCAAACUGUGUUGACUCAUUCUUCCCACAGUAUAUUUUAUUUUCCAAAUUGUUUUAGCUGCUGUUCUUCUUUUGCCUUUUCAUAUACACUUUAGAAUGGUCUUUUCUCUCUCUACAAAACUCUUGUAGGGAUUUUGAUAAUGGUUGCAUUAUCUUUACUAUGUUGAAUCUUAAAAUCCAUGAACAUGGUAUAUAUAUCCAUUUAUUUGCAUUUGCUUUGUUUUUUUUUUAUUAGUGUUUUGUAGUUUUUAGCCUGUACUCUCUAUAUUUUAUUUGUGCACAGGUAGCUCUUAUUUUUUGAGCAAUUGCAAAUAGCAUUGUAUUUUUAAUUUCAGUGUCUACAUGUUCAUUAAGAGUUUAUAGAAAUACAGUUGAUUAUUGAGUAUUUAUCUUACCUCUUGUACUAAACUAACUUAUGCUAGGAAUUUUGGCAAUAUUCCUUGGAAGUUUCUAAAUAGAUAAUCACAGUAUCCACAAAUAGGACUAGUUUUAUUUCUUCCUCUCUGAUCCCUGUGCCUUUUAUUUCUUCUUCUUGUCUUACUGCACUUGCUAGAUCUUCCAGUACUAUGUUGAAUAAGAGUGGUGAGAGUGGACUCCUGCCUUGUUUCCAAUCUUAGGGGAAAAGCACUCAGUAUUUUAACAUCAAGUGUAAUACUGGCUGCAGUAUUUUUUGCAGGUGUUCUUUAUCAAGCUGAAGAAGUUCUCUUUCCUCCUAUUUUGUGAGAGGUUUAUUCAUUCAUUUAUUUUAACUGUGAAUGGUGUUAAAUUUUGUCAAAUGAUUUGUCUCCAUCAGGUGGUAUGACAUUGGACUUUUUUCUUCAGAUUGUUAUUAUGGAAAAUUGUAUUGAUUGAUUUAUUCAAAUGUUGAACCAGUCUUUCCUACUUGGAAUAAACCACAUGUGGCUAUAAUGUAUAAUUCUCUUUAUGUUUUUUUUUUUUUUUUGAUUGUGCCCACAGCAUGCAGAAGUUCCUGGGCCAGGGAUCAAAACCAUGCCACAGUAGUGACCCACAGUGACCCAAGCCUGGACAGAAUGGAAAGGAAAGAGGAAAGAAAGAGCAAACUUGAAGACAAAAUACAAUAAAUUACCCCAUCUAAACAGCAGAGAGAACAUAAACUAAACAAACAAACAAUGAAUAGAGCCUCAGGGACCUAUGGCCUAUCAUGGAAUAGCUAACGUUCAUGUCAUAAGAGGCUCAGAAAGUGAAGCUAGAGAGGGUAGGGUUGACAAGGUGUUUGAAGAAGUAAUAACUUUAAUAUAUAAUAAGGUGCCCAUAUUAGGCAAAAGACACAAACAUACAGAUUCAAAAACUGAGCAGAUCUCAAACAGAAUAAACCCCUCAACUCGAUAUCAAGACACAUCAGAGUCAAGUUUUCAAAACUAAAGACAAAGAAAAGACUCAAAAUCAGUGAGAGAGAGACCACACUUCAUCUUAAGGGCAAACAAUGUGAAUGACAGUGGAAUUCUGGUCACAAACCAUGGAGACAUAGUAGUCUUUAAAACAGGCCAGAAUUCUUUAUCUGGCAAAAAUUUCUUUCAGAAAAUAAGAACAAAUCAAGAUAUUCUCGAGGUAAGGAAACUAAGAGGAUUCACAACCAGCAAACCUACCCUGAAACCAAAGUUUCUCUGAACGGAAAGAUAAUGAUAAAAGAAGGAAUCUGGGGAGUUCUCAUUGUGGGCCAGUGGUAACGAACCUGACUAGCAUCCAUGAGGACAUGGGUUCAAUCCCUGGCCUCGCUCAGUGGAAUGGGGAUCUCGCAUAGCCAUGAGCUGUGGUGUGGGUUGCAGACAUGGCUUGGAUCUUGUGUGGCUGUGGUGUAAGCUGGCAGCUACAGCUCCAAUUCUACCCCUAGCCUGAAAAAUUCCAUGUGCUGCAGGUGUGGCCCUAAAAAGAUGAAGAAGAGGAAGAAGAAGAAAUAAGGAAUGAAUCUUGGAAC
ensembl:lncRNA